UAGAGUUUGAUCCUGGCUCAGGAUGAACGCUGGCGGCGUGCCUAACACAUGCAAGUCGAACGAAGUAUUAUGAAGCCUUCGGGCGGAUUAAAACUUAGUGGCGGACGGGUGAGUAACGCGUGGGUAACCUGCCUCAUACAGGGGGAUAACAGCUGGAAACGGCUGCUAAAACCGCAUAUGCACACAGUAUCGCAUGAUACAGUGUGGAAAUAUUUAUAGGUAUGAGAUGGGCCCGCGUCUGAUUAGCUAGUUGGUGAGGUAAUGGCUCACCAAGGCGACGAUCAGUAGCCGGCUUGAGAGAGUGACCGGCCACAUUGGGACUGAGACACGGCCCAAACUCCUACGGGAGGCAGCAGUGGGGAAUAUUGCACAAUGGGGGAAACCCUGAUGCAGCGACGCCGCGUGAGUGAAGAAGUAUUUCGGUAUGUAAAGCUCUAUCAGCAGGGACGAAAAUGACGGUACCUGACUAAGAAGCCCCGGCUAACUACGUGCCAGCAGCCGCGGUAAUACGUAGGGGGCAAGCGUUAUCCGGAUUUACUGGGUGUAAAGGGAGCGUAGGUGGUUCGGUAAGUCAGAUGUGAAAGCCCGGGGCUCAACUCCGGGAUUGCAUUUGAAACUGUCGGGCUAGAGUGCAGGAGAGGUAAGUGGAAUUCCUAGUGUAGCGGUGAAAUGCGUAGAUAUUAGGAGGAACACCAGUGGCGAAGGCGGCUUANNNNNCUGUAACUGACANU
rnacentral:rRNA from 1 species